AUGAGAGAUUUCAACGAGAUUCUUUACAGCUUUGAGAAACAGGGAGGUGUGGCAAAAGCUCAAGUCUACAUGGAUAGAUUUAGAAAUGCUUUAAACUUUUGUAAUCUGAAUGAUCUCGGUUUCGAUGGUGACAUUUUUACUUGGCGAAAUGGUUAUAUUCGUUCACGUCUUGAUAGAGUGGUGGCAAAUAAGGAGUGGUGUGCUUGCUUUCCGGGUUACGAGGUAGUAAACGGCUGCCCGGGACACUCGGAGCAUCGUCCGGUUAUUCUUGAUGUACAUGGAUCAUGCACAAGGGCUAGAUCACGUCCUAAUAAUCUGAACAAGCGGUUUGAAGUGCGGUGGCUACUGGGGGAUGACUGUGAAAAAAUCAUGAAGGAGGCAUCGACCAAAUCUGAGAAUGAAGGUAACCACCAUGUGGCUCAGCGGCUACAAGUUGUUUCUAGAGACCUAUAUGAAUGGAGUAGGGAGGUUUUGAGUGAUCUGCAGCAGGGCAUAAAGAAGAUAUGA
rnacentral:rRNA from 1 species